rnacentral:rRNA from 1 species
UACGGAGGGUGCGAGCGUUGUCCGGAAUCACUGGGCGUAAAGGGCGCGUAGGCGGCGCGGGUAGUCAUCGGUGAAAGUUCAGGGCUCAACUCUGAAUCGGCCGGUGAUACUCCCGUGCUCGAGCACUGUAGAGGCAGGUGGAAUUCCGGGUGUAGCGGUGGAAUGCGUAGAGAUCCGGAAGAACACCGGUGGCGAAGGCGGCCUGCUGGGCAGUGAGCUGACGCUGAUGCGCGACAGCGUGGGGGAGCAAACAGG